GACGAACGCUGGCGGCGUGCUUAACGCAUGCAAGUCGAACGGAAAGGCCCUGCUUUUGUGGGGUGCUCGAGUGGCGAACGGGUGAGUAACACGUGAGUAACCUGCCCUUGACUUUGGGAUAACUUCAGGAAACUGGGGCUAAUAUCGGAUAGGAGCUCUUGCUGCAUGGUGGGGGUUGGAAAGUUUCGGCGGUUGGGGAUGGAUUGGCGGCUUAUCGGCUUGUUGGUGGGGUAGUGGCUUACCAAGGCUUUGACGGGUAGCCGGCCUGGGAGGGGGACCGGCCACAUGGGUACUGAGAGAGGGCGCAGACGCGAAUCGGAGGCAGUAGUGGGGAAUAUUGCACAGUAGGCGGAAGCCAGAUGUGGCAACGCUGCGUGCGGGAAGAUGGCUUUCGGGUUGUGAACCGCUUUCGCCUGUAACGAAGCGUUAUUGACGGUACUGGGUAAAGAAGCACCGGCUAACUACGUG
rnacentral:rRNA from 1 species